rnacentral:lncRNA from 1 species
AGACAGUGGGUUGAAGCACCUUGAGGUCAUCCAUGAGCAGCCUGAUAUCUCCUUGGAAAAAUCCGAUUUUAGCUCCAUGACACAGCAUUACACACUAUAGGGGUAAUGGAAAAAACAAACAUUUUAUCACCACAGCAGGGGUUACACAACAUAUGGACAACAUCCAACAUUUCAGUUUUAGCAUUUCAGGCCAGUUUCCAGAAAUCUUAAAUUUCCUAAAUAUAGGUAACUUAAAAAAAAUGUGCAUUUACUAGUCAUUGUACAACAUGGAAAUGUGGUAUUUCUCUUGGUUAUCCUGAAGAUAUGGGACUCAGUAAAAAACCAGGCUAUGUUGUUUUUAGUGAUGACCACAGAGGUUCUACUCUUUUAGUGCGGUGGUAAGUAUCUGUUCAAUGAAUGACAUGGUAUUACAUAUUCUAAAUAUUUUUAGUGGCUGGGCGCGGUGGCUUACACCUAUAAUCCCAGCACUUUGGGAGGCCGAGGCAGGUGGAUCACUUGAGGUCAGGAGUUCCAGUCGAGCCUGGCCACGUUACGGUGAAACCCCAUCUCUACUAAAACAAAAAUUAGCCGGGCUUGGUGGCGGGUGCCCAUAGUCCCAGCGACUCAGGAGGCUGAGGCUGGAGAAUCGCUUGAACCCAGGAGGCGGAGAUUGCAGUGGGCUGAGAUUGUGCCACUGCUCUCCAGCCUGGGCCACGGAGGGAGACUCUGUCUCAAAUAUAUAUAUAUAUAUAUAUAUAUAGCCUUCCAGAAACUUUACAUUUAAUUUAUUCUCAAAAUAAAAACUUAACUUCUUGCCUAGAGUCCAAGUUUGUUAAAGUCUCACUUUCUUUUGUUUGAAUCUAACUAGAAGUUUCUGAAAGGCCACCAAGUAUGAUGAAUUUGUGACACCAGGGUAUCUAAUACCAGAGUGGCUUGCCAUUCAGCUAGAAUACACUGCAUGAUUUUUUUCCUGUCUAGUACAAACCAUGCUGGCAAGCCAUAUGGACCUGACAGUUUGCCUAUUUUAAAAUUUAAAAAGAAAAGAUUCAAAAGAUGACACAAGGGAAGUACAAAUGUUCUCUGUCUUAGAAGCAGAAACCACGAGAAAGGUACACCAUGGUUCACUGUUUAACAAUUACAGCUCAGAAAGCUUUUGUUCAGCGUGGCCUGCCUUCUAGGCACACCUCUAAAACUCGUUAGGUACAGCAACUCAUGUGAGAUUGCUUUAUAAACCCAGAAGACUCUGAGGUGUGCAGGAAGUAGAAGGAACAGAUGGCAGAUGGGAUCUAAUCGCCUUCGAUCCUUUGGGAUGAGCAAAUCCGACAGGGCAGCUGUCAUCCAAAGCAUCGGCUGAUAGUCACCUCUGUCUCCAACACAGCAGAGGGCACACAGCUAGAGCUCAGUAACUACUCACUAAAUGAAUGAAUGGUGCUCAUUGUUUUUUCCUACAGCAUAAAAUCCAAAAUUGUCAAAGAAGGAAAAAAGGUGGUUCUUGGUCAGUUUUAAAAUUAGUCACACAGUUGAUUACAGGGAGCCUAGGCAAAGGUCAACUCAAGGAUCAUCCUCUUUCUCCAAGGGCACUUAGAAUAUUGCUGAAAAAAUUAGUCGCAAGCCAACUUGUGCAUUAGGAACAAGCACAAUCAAAAAUAGAGACUUCUCACAGAACGGAAGCCUCGCUGGGCUUUGUAGAACUGAAUUAAUAAUGACUUUACCUUUAUAGUUGGUUUUUCUGGACUCAUGUCCACAUUAGUAUCCUUCAAAAGUCUGAACUCCUAAUUUUAAAAUGAGUGAUUAAAUUCCAGUAUCCUGUUCAUACUCAGAAAAAGAAUUUAUAUUCUUUCAAAUAAUCUGCACCAUUUCUAAAACGGGGCUGAGCAGAGAAUUCUCUAUAGGGAUGACAGUCCGCACGCCACACUUACCUUCAAUAACUGUUCAUAAAUGUGAGCAAGUGGUAAAUAUGAAAUGUGUGUGUCACUGGCACUCAAGGGAAGUGCUUUCUGUAAAACACAACAACUUAGCAGAACAUACACAAACAAGCAAGGAAAACAAAAUUAAAUGCCUACCUCUACAACUCUCUCAAACAUAUGGGCGAGAGGCAAGAAAGAUAUCAAAGUAUCAUCUGGGCAAGGAUUGACUGUAUUCUGUAAGCAAAGACACCAGCAAGGCAGAAAAGCAUUAAGACUCCCAGUGAAGGGGAACAUCGCACACCAGGGACGGUUGUGGGGUAGGGGGAGGGGGGAGGGAUAGCAUUAGGAGAUAUACCUAAUGCUAAAUGACAAGUUUAUGGGUGCAGCACACCAGCAUGGCACAUGUACACAUAUGUAACACACCUGCACGUUGUGCACAUGCACCCUAAAACUUAAAGUAUAAUAAUAAUAAAAUUAAAAAAAAAAGACUCCGAGUAAACUUCCAUUUUAUUUCUGAGCACAUAGUACCUCAACACUGAGGAGAAACGGCUUUUGCUUAUGGUCUGCAAUUUCUUCUCACCAAAGAAUAAAAUGAAAAACAAGGGGCAUGGUGGCUCACGCCUGUAAUCCCAGCACUUUGGGAGGCCAAGGCAGGCAGAUCACUUGAGGUCAGGAGUUCAAGACCAGCCUGGCCAACAUGGUAAAACCCCAUCCCUACUAAAAAUACAAAAAUUAGCCAGACAUGGUGGCACAUGCCUGUAAUUCCAGCUACUCAGGAGGCUGAGGCAGCAGAAUUGCUUGAAUCAGGGAGGCGGAGGCUGCAGUAAGCCGAGAUUGCACCACUGCACUCCAGCCUGGGCAACAGAGUGAGACUCUGAAUCAAAAAAAAAAGCAAUACUUUAAUUAUUCAAACAAAGUGGAAGUCACUCCCCAUGACAAAGUAAAUCCACUUCAGGGCUUUAAUCAAAACAAGGAAAAUUUUGCUCAAAUUGGAAGGUUAAGGGAUUAUAUGCUCUAAUCAGUUAGUAUUUCAUCACUACAGUAUCCUAGUACCCAGCAAGUUCAAUUUUACCUUAAGAAAUACAGGACCCAUUUCAACAUAAAAUUGCAUUUUAUGUUGUUAAGGGAAAGGAGGAAAGAAGAUAAAAGAAGGUGGAUUUCCAAGGUCCUUAGAGUAUUUUGAGUUUGAUCAAUAUUUUUAAUACCUUAAAGCCCUACUUUACAUAUCACAAUUUGUUUAAUGCAACCUCAGAUCUGGCACCCAGGAAUUUGCUCUCCUAUAAAAUGCUGAUCAUGAUGGGUCCACAGACAGAUUAAGUUUGGACAUCUGGUUUCCCUCAGAAUGGGCCUUACUUAGGGCAGGCACAGUGAGGGUUUGUAUAGAAUAUUCAUGUUAUUAACAUAAAGAAUUCUGGCCAAAACAGGGGGUGUGCAAGAGCAGCUGCUGUCAUACCAACUAAGAAAUGAGGGCAUUGUCGUUACCUAGGGGAUGAUAUACCAAGUUCUGAGCCAUGCCCCUUCCUUUCCUAAAGCUGGGUCACCCUUAAUAAUAAUGUGACAAUGGAUGAAAGCAUCAAUCCUGAGCAAACACAGCAGCCCCAGAAGCACUGGAUGUGGGCUGAGCAUGCUAUAAUCUCAGCUGGAUUUUAUUCAAGUCUGACAGGCAUCCCAAGUAGUACUUCUCAGGAUGAAAUUGUUAUAUUAAUAUAAUGAGAAAUCGGACUCCAUUCUAUCUAUACUUUUCAACUUUCUGACUCAGAACAAAAAUAUUGUCCAUUAUCAUGAUUAGACAUCUUACAAAGCUGAGAAGAUACUGAUAUUGUAAUUGAUUUGAUAUUGUAACUGACUUUAAACAAAGUUCUGUAAUCAUUUGCCUCAAUGAGCCACCAAUGCAUUUUAAGUUUUGUUUGAAGGCCAAUUAGGAAAUUAAAAUUUCACUUUGGUAAGGUACUAAAUGUUGAACUCUGUUUAGAAAGUAUACAUCUUUAAAAAGGGCAUUUGGAAAGUGUGAGCCAAGUAAAGUAAGUGGCAAGAUCCCUCAAAGAUCAGUUUUCUGCAGCCACCAAACAUGUCCAUUCCCCAAAGCCAUUAAGCUCAGGCUCCUGCUACAAAAAUCAGAGCUACAGAAUACUUCCAAAGAGACUGCAAAAGCCAAUUAUGUUAAAUGUAAAAAAGAGUAUAAGGAAAAGGCAUAUGGUUCAAUAAGCACCUUUUUAAAAGGCAAGUUUGGAAUAGGCUGUUGGUGUUAUGGACUGAAUCACAUCACCCCCUUCUAAAUUCGUAUGUCAACAUCCUAACUCCCAAUGUAGAUGGGGCCCUGCUGUGACUGGAUAGACUAAGACACUGGAUAGUAAACUUUAAAAGCAUGGGAAAUUAGCUGAAGUGCAAGGCUUUACUACUUCUAGUGCAAUGGAAGUCACACUGACCACAACAGAUAAUAAUCAUUCAAAAACUUUUAACAUAUCAUUGCCAAUUUAAAAUAAAUUAUUUCCCAAAUACAGGGACGCUGGAUAAAAACACAAGAGAGUCCAUCUCUUCUCUGUCCUUUCUUGGACAUGUUUCUAGGGCAAUAUCCAAAUAGAGUUUCUCUAUAUAAAUGUUGCAGUGAACUUCAUCUGUCAAUUCACCUUAAUUAUCAUAAGGCAAGGGUUGGCGAUUAGGUUCAAAGUGAAAAAAGAGAGAAGGUGGACUUGGGCCUAAAGUUCUGACCUUACCCAUAUGUCACAUCGUUUCUAAAUGCCACAUGGACCUAACACACUGGUGCCCACCUUCAGCACUUUCAUUCUCAAGGACUAAUGUCAAUCAAUGAGGAAAGAUGACGACAUCCCAAAAAGUUACCUCUGUUGCUUUCACAAAAGCUGAACAAUCGCUCACUAUGUUUCGGUGAGUGACCAUUGCUCCUUUGGGGUUGCCUGUGGAGCACAUAUGAAGCAGAACAAAGUUAAAGAAUGACAGAAAUGAAGGAGGCCCAGAAACCUCACAUAAUUAGGGCUUCAGACACCUCUACUGUUAGAUAUAUCGUGAAAACCAAAUGUUGAACACUAAAUUCCUAAGCAACCUGCAAUCCUUACACUGACUUAUCUUUAAAAACCUUUAUUAAUAUGGGCACAUUUUAAAGGGUAUAUACGUAGUCAUAAGAGAAGAAAAACCAGAAAUUUUCUUCCUGGGAGCCACCGAUAUAGUCUGUCCUAGGAAGACAGGUGAAUCUAAUAUCACCCUCAAUAAAUGUUUGAGGAAUUAUCCGGCACUCUUGGACUCUGAGAAGAUCUUACAGAGCAACAAGAAGACAGCACUUGAACCGCUUCCUUCUCUUCUGCUUUUGGUCCGUCUACUGUUAGCUGAUAAGUCAUCCAAAAGAGGUAGGGGAGAGUCCAGACCAAUGGCUGCCAUAUGUAGAAGCAAUUCUAUCUCAAAACUCACCUGUAGUUCCACUUGUGAAACAAAUUACUGCAAGAUCUUCAGGUGCUGGAGGCUAAAGAUUAAAAAAAAAAAAAGCUGGUAUAAAUCAGAACAGAAAAGAGAACUAUAAGCCACAAGGUACCAGGCUAGAUAUUGAAAACUACAAAGAGGACAGAGCAGGGUCUGACACGGUGUGCUUACCUUGGGCUUCCGUCUGUUGGCUCUUCCCAGGUCCUUAAUUAGAAGAGAAAAAAAGUCUUAAAUGGAAACGUUUUCUAACUGUAAAGGAUAAGGUCACAUCGAGUCACUUAAAGCUGGCUUUACUGUGGGGUUCAUUCACACCUGGCUCGAAAACAGCAUAAUUUUCUAAUUAAAGAAACUAUGGCAGUUUUAAUUAACCAGAACCAAAAUAUUUAUUCAUUGUUCUGAGAAGCCAUUUUCCAGUUACCUCUUCUCUUACAUAAAACUACAUAAACGGUAUUAGGACUGGUCUUUGAAAUAGGAUGUAUUAAAAAAACAGCAGCCAAAGUCUUUACCAUGCAUUUCUGGUCCCCACUUCCACUUCUUAUUAGGGCCUUUAAUAAAGCCCUGUUCUUAACCAUAACGAGAUACUGCAGAUACUUCGUAGGUUCCUCAAAUCAGAGCACAGCACUACCUCACCCCCACAUUCUGCACAACUGACAUCUGCAAUCUGGGAAGAAGAAAAAUCAAUCUCUGCUCGAUUGAAAUGCUAGGCAUUUUGGAGAGGCUCAAAUAUCUGCUCAAAUAUCUCCCCUCGUAGAGUGGAGAUAGGAUUUGGGAGCCCCCAAUUAUAAAACAGGCCACAGCAGACCCUCUAAGACUCCUUCCUGAAUGGACUUGAAGGUUAAGAAUGACAGAAGCAUUGCGCGGGGACAGCAUUUCCCAGCGGCAGGCUUCCAGUCACUACCACUGAUGGGGUUCGGUUUACUGCAUUAGGGCAGUCUUGGUGGCCACUUUAAUAUCUAUUAAUUUUAACAAAUGAACUAUUUAUAUUCUUUUCCUAUUCAAAUGGAACAGCUUGAAUGAGGAUAUGGAAUGAACAUGCCAUUGAACACGCCAUUGAACAUGUUCAAUUCACGUGGAAAUUAGAUGGGUGUGCUCAGGGCUUAGUGAGUUUCUGCCCAGCAUACAUUAAGUUUUCAAUCUUAAUUACAUUUUAAAUGAUGUAGUGACAGACCACCGAUUAAGAACAGGAACUAAUAUAUCCAAUUAGAGGUCAGCCAAAAGCUAAAGCAAUAAUUCUGUACAUUUUUUUCAAAAUAACCUUUAUUAGCUCCAGAUUUCUAUUUGUCUAUUAAAAAUUCUUACAUAACUUCUGGAGAUGCCCAAUUCUUCAAAAACUGAUGUUAAAUAAAAUAAAGCACCAGUUACAUACAAUUUGGCUCUUAAUUUAUUGGGAACAAACAUUAUCCAAAUUAGUGCACUGUUGCCGCAAAAGUUUCACAGCCUUACAUCUCUCUUACAGUAUCACUUAGGAAAAAUACUGCAAUUAUUAUUAUUUUUUGAGAUGGAGUCUCGCUCUGUCACCCAGGCUGCAGUGCAGUGGGGCGAUCUCUUCACCUUUUGCUCAGAAUAUUUUUAAAAACUAAGUACAGAUCAUAUUAAACAGGUAAGUGUAAAACAAUGUCUUCUAUAAAUUAAUAUUUUAAUAUAAACUUUAUAUUAUAAUCUUCAAUCAACUAAAUAAUUUUUAAAUUUCAACAUUACUUCUUUAUCAUACAGCAGUCAAAAAACACCAGAAAAAUUCUUGCAUCUGUGGGAAGGUAAGGGAAAAAGAGAUUACAUUAUAGUAAAAGAGGGUUAAAAGUAAAAAAACAGAAGUGGGGAAACACUAGGUAAGAAGCUAUAAAACCCCAAUUCAACAAGGAAGCACCCGGGUCAGCACUUGCGGAAUCACGUUCGAUGCUACUGAGAGAGAGAGUUGGGCAGGGGCGCACACAUGCACAAGAGAGAAGGUUCUGUUAGAACACCCGCGCUUCCCUGUGCCUACUGGGUUCCUCAGGAAAGGUUCUACAGAUCCUUACUUAUAGCCUCAAAUUCUUUGUAGGAGGAGGAAAACUACACAUAAAAAUUUAAAAUCCUAUCUAUAACAGUUUCAGAAAAAUAUUUCUAACACCUUCAGAAAGAGAAGGACUGACUCUGUUUUCCUAUGACUUGUUAUGAUAUGUAUAUGAAAAGAUCUUCCUCCGGCCAUGUUCCUUGGAUGGAACUCUAAUCCAAGUCCAACUGACGGGGAUCAACUUCUUAUAUCAUCUGACAUCAAGCACCCAAGCUGAGCAUGGACCACCACGCUCAUUCUCCUGGAAUGGCUGCCUUUAAACUUGUGAUUGGUAUGACUCUUAAGAGUCAAUAUGAAAACAAACCAAAUCAAACAUGCAUGUUGGAAAUUCACCAAGACUCUCCACGAGCCAUCCAGGGAAAAGAACGAUGAGGCUGAUUUCUAUACUUGGCUUGGCAUUAGAGACAAAUUAGUAAGUAAAAGGCAUUAAAGCCCAAAGGAGACACAGAAACUGAAAGUUCCACCUGCCUGAAGCUGUAAUUCCCAUUUCUGGCAUUUCCGGGCACAGCUUGUCAGUGCUCUGGAAUAAAUAUUGGAGUGCUGAAAGCACUUGGGUAAGGUGUGAGGUGUUAACACUGGGCACACAUGUAGAAUCCUUUUUCCAGCAAUGAGACAGAAGUUUCUGCUCUCUUUCAUGGGUUGCGGAGGCAACCGGCCAGCGCUGGGACUGCACCAUAGCACUAGAUAGCACUGGAUAGCACGUGUGAGCCAACACGGCCCCAGGGAAAGCCUUCAGAGAAGGGAAGGAGGCAGGGCACUCACCUCCAUCGCCUUCAUGCUGGUGACUUCCACCCCACACCUCUGGCCUCGUUCCACCAGUUCACUGCCGUAGGCAUCCAUGACAACUAUGAUUUUAAGGCCUGGUAUUAACUUAUUUUCUACACCCUCUAAUAAGAGUUUGGCCUUCUCUGGCUUGUCAACAAAAACCAGAGAGAGUUCAGCUGUAAAUGAAGAGAUACAAUGAAGAAUAAGCUCUGGGAUGUUAAAAGAUUCACUCUGUCAUAUCCAGCACAAGGAUACUUGAAGUACUACAUUCUUUGAAUAAAAAGGUAGAUAUAUAUUUACAUGUAAAAUCUUUGUCAAAUCAAAUGUAAGCAAAUGUAAAGUCACUGAACCUAACCAAUAACUAUGCCAAUAAUCCAGGCAAAGAUCACAGACGUACCUUUGUUGACUAUGUACGUGAUGGCUUCAUUUCCAAGGGUAUCAUAAAGUGGAACGAUCACCAUCGAAUAAGCAAAGCAUCCUUGUUCAAUAAUCACCCACUAAACAAACAGUAAAGGUCAGGGAGAGAAAACAGGAUGUCAUCAUGUAAUCAAUAAGGAGAACAAUACUCAAGAGAGAUUCAAAGUGAAAACAUUUGACGCAGCAAAAUUAACAUCUGUGUUAGCUACUACUCUGUGCCAGGUGCUAUAAGGGAUUCAGAAUGAGAACAAAACACAUGCCCCCUUCUUAAAAAGAAAUUAAGGCCAGGCACACUGACUCACACCAGUGAUCCCAGCACUUUGGGAGGCCAAGGUUGGGGGAAUCAGUUGAGCCCAGGAGUUCAAGACCAGCCUGGGAAACAUGGCAAAACCCUGCCUCUACAAAAGUUAUCUGGACAUGGUGGCACACACCAUGUCGCAGCUACUUGAGAGGCUGAGGCGGGAGGAUUGCUUGAACCCAGGAGGUUGAGGCUGCAGUGAGCUGUGAUCACACCAGUGCACUCCAGCCUGGGUGACAGAGUGAGAUCCUGUAUGUAUGUAUGUAUGCAUGUACAAAGAGAGGGAGGGAGGGAGGGAAGGAAGGAAAGAGAGAGAGAGAAAGAAAGAUGAGAGGACAGAGAGAGAAAGAGGAGAGAUUGAGAAAGAAAAGAAAAAAGGAAGGAAAGGAAAGGAGAGAAAGAGAGAAAGAAAGAUAAAUUAAAAUCCGCCUGAAGAAUUGAGGCAAAUAUGUUAAAAGAUAAUUAGCAAUAAUUAUCAGACAGGGACUGACCCAGAGAUAAGAAAGCCCACCAUCGGCCAAGGUAGCUACAGAUGCUACUGGGAGGGUGUAACUGAGAUUGCCUUUGGAAAGAGAAAGAAAGAGAGAGAGAGAGACAGAGACAGAGGGAGGCAGGGAGAUGCUAACAGAGGGGAUGGCAGGAUCAAAAGCAGGGGUAGUGAGAGCGAUCUGACUGGCACAGAUGGUUCUGGCUGGAGAGCACGGAGCAGCCACUGAGAGUUUCUCAGCAAAACAGCGGCUGUGGGGCUCAAGGAAGACCCCUCUGGCAGCAGGGCACUGUAUGCCCUGGAAUAGGGGAAGAAGUACCUUGUCUAGCAGCAAAACUGUUUUGAUAAAAUCCCUCUAGAAAAGUGCAGGAAAGAAGUGAGACAAUAACUGGCCACACUGCCACAUGCAAGAUGCAGUAAGAUGUGUCUGAAGGCACUGGCCACAUAGCCACUGCCCUACCUACUGGACAAAGGUGAAAGAUCACUCUUUCACUACCAUACCCAGGGGUACCCCACUGCCUCCGGCUGCACCUUUCUAAUGAAAUCAUCUGCAGAACUCUGACACACAGGACAGAAAAAGGCACAGCCGGGGGAAGGGGGCACAACCCACUCACAUCCACUUGGCCUGGAACUAGGCUUCUGAGUUUCGGUUUUUUCCCAGAAGGAAUUUUCAGCCAACAACAUAGAAAUCAGGUCCCAGCUCCUUAGGCACAUGUGACGCAUGAGGAAGGCUGUCUUUCCUGCCACUCCACCACAUGAAAAUGCUCCACUCCCAGACACAGGUGUGAACGUGGGCAUUCCCUUGGCCUCCCCGCCCCUAUUUCCUUCAAGAUUCUACUCAGGUGCCACCUCCAGGGAGCCCUCCUUGACUGAGCUCCCAUAAUCCUUCUGCCCUGCGCCCACACUUACCACUUGACAGAGAAAGCACCGGUGUUUAGGUCUGUCUUGCCUUACGUGGUACCUCAGGAAGAGAGGCCGAGUCACUGUGCUUUGGCACCCCAACACAGUGUCUGACAUAUAGUGGGUGCUCAGCAAACAUUUGUUGAAUGAACUCAUAAAUACAGGAAGGAACCUAUUUCUUAUUUGUUUUGCAGUUCUAGAUUCAUGAUAAAAUUCCAUCAAAACAAACAUUUUGAUGUGUUCAUUUGGGAUGAAAAAAACUAAAUUCUACAAGCCCAGUCACAGUCCAGCUGUGGAGAAUGCUGUUUUCCCCUUGAAAGACCACAAAACUCUAAGAAGCCAUCUUUAUUUAUAUAAAAAAAAAAAAGUCAGUAGCACAGGGAUUGAGUCAGCAUGUCUUCUGGACACAAGCAGGUAUAAGAAUAAAUUCGAUUUCUUCAAGCCAGAUGCUUCCAUUUUUCUAAGCCAGCUAGAUCUACUAAUCUAUUGAGUCAUACCAUAAGCAAUACUUCCAAAAGAGCUGCUCAUUUAAACUCAGUUUCUGAUAUGUUUUGGCUGUGUCCCCACCCAAAUCUCAACUUGAAUUGUAUCUCCCAGAAUUCCCACGUGUUGUGGGAGGGACCCUGGGGGAGGUAAUUGAAUCAUGGGGGCUGGUCUUUCCCAUGCUAUUUUUGUGAUAGUAAGUUUCAUGAGAUCUGAUGGGUUUAUCAGGGGUUUCUGCUUUUGCUUCUUCCGCAUUUUCUCUUGCCGCCACCAUGUAAGAAGUGCCUUUCACCUCCUGCCAUGAUUCUGAGGCCCCCCCAGCCAUGUGAAACUGCAAGUCCAAUUAAACCUCUUUUUGUUCCCAGUCUCAGGUAUGUCUUUAUCAGCAGCAUGAAAAUGGACUAACACACUUUUACACACUGGUUUACAGAAACCGUGCUGGGCUUAGACCACCAAUGACAGACUGCCCAAAGGAAGGCUGGCUAGCAGUGAGUACUGUCCCCAUCACCCAUGGUAUUUUAAACUCUAGAAACCAACCAGAGGGAAAGCCUCAUACCUUUCAGAAAGGAAAAAAAGGAACCUGCUAUUGACAAAAAUGUAUCUGAGUCUCUCUAUAACUUAUUAAUGCCAUUUUUCUAACCACAGAGGUGACUCUUAAAGUAAAAAGACUCCUUUGUUAGUUAUCUGUUCUAAGGAUUUUAUUUGGGAACCUGGUUUAAAAAAACUAAAAUAAUCCCCCCAAAAAAGUGAUUUCUUUUUUCUCUUAAAGGCGAUUAAAAGGCCCUGGUUCAGGUUUUCCUUUCUUUUUUUUUUUUUUUGAGACGGAGUUUCGCUCUUGUUG